rnacentral:lncRNA from 1 species
GUGGAAAGCCUUUACAAUUAGAUAUGGCCACUAUUUACAAAACUAGACCUAAUUGUGCCAGAGUUAAGGUCCAGGUAGAUAUUGCCGCUAAUCUACCUAAAUUUUUACAUAUGGUCAUAGUAGAUGAAUCUACCAGAGAAAAACAUACAACCAAUGUUAGAAUACAAUAUGUGCAUUGCUAUAGUGUUGCAAAGAAUGUAAGUUACAAGGUCAUAAUAAGAAAGAAUGAAGGAAAUUAAAUCCUAAUCUUAGAAGGCAGUACAAUAAUUCAAAAGAAAAUAAGAAAAAUGAAGAGGGCCAACAACGAGAUGUAGCAACACUAGAGAUUUAUUAACAGGAGGUUGCUGGACCAAGAUAUAAUGAUUUCCCUCCAAAGAUCUUAUCAGUGGUAAAGUUGCUGGUGAUCCAGUUGUUUGGGCUCUUGUGGAAAGAAAGAAACCUAUGAAGAAAGGAAAGAGGUUAACAAAGAUGCAAAAGCUAAUCCAUCAAAGGAGACAAUAGUUACAAAUAACAAGUUCAAAUCCUGGAAGGAGGAGAGAAAAGAGAUAGAAGAGGAGCAACUGGAUAAUCUAAAAAAUGAGGAGAAAGGGUGGAAAGGGAAGAAGAGAAUAAAUAGAGAGAAGAUUUAAGCUUACAUUCAAAUGAAAUGGUUCAAAUCUGUAAGCAACAACAGAUUUCCCUCGCAGUAGGUGAACAAAAUGGAAUAAAUAUAACAGAGUAGGAAGUUCUAAAAGACACUCAAUAAUAGAUUAUUUAUAGUAAGAGAUAAUUGCCAAUCAGACAAUUUACAACAUAAGUAGAAUUCAACAAUUGACAUACCAAAUGUGCAGAGUUUAGAAAAUAAAGAAGAGAUGGAGAAAGGAAAUAAACAAAAAUUCCCAUGUAAAAGAGAGAUAUGUCAGAUCACAGAUGAUCAAAUUGAACUACACUUGCAAAUGCUGAAUUCCAUCAGCCUUUACAAAUUGAUAGUUUUGGAGUGGUUGAACAUGUAAGAGUAUCAUUGUUCCCAUUUUAAAAUUCCACAAAUAGUUUUAAUAUUGUAGUAGAUAUAGAGGUCCCAGAGAGGUAGGUGGUUGUACAUAGAAAAUAACUUUCUCUAAUCAAGAUUGUGAAUGAUUUGGUUUCUCAUAAGGCAACUGAGAUAACAAUAACACAUUCUAGUAUGAAGAUUAAUAACCAGCUAUAAAAAGAACAACCAACAACCAAAAGAAGAUUAUGAAUAAGAAAUGAAUGAUAUAAAUAUGAAAAAUAUCAUGAAACAUGUAGAUUUAUGUCCAACAAAUAAGAUGAAGGAAAAGAAAAUAAGAGCCAAGGCUGAUAAUAGUAAACCUACUUGGGUCUUACCAUUGAGGGGGUCAAGGCUAGUUCCAACUGCGUUGCAAAGCUCUCUUUCAGAAUAUUAGAUCUGUGAGAGCUCAUCAUGCUUUUCACAAAGUUCAAAUAUUGUACAGACAUAAUAAAUUUUUCAAUAUUGCAUUAAUGGAACCUUUUCAAGCACCUUGCUAGAUUCAAAGGUACAAGAGAAGGUUUGGUAUGCAAUAUUCAAACUAUAAUCAAAAUGAAAAAGAUGGAUUUAUUCUCAGCAAGAUAUUCAGGUCACAAUGUUAGUUAAUUCUGAUCAACAAUUGACUACUUAGAUCAACUUUGUGGAUGGAAGAAAAAUUAUUACCACAAUAGUAUAUGCAAAGUGUGAUGUUAUUGACAAAUUAGAUUUCCCAAAUGAUAUUUACUCAUUAAGUGAUAGUAUGAGAUUACCAUGGUUGUUAGGAGGUGAUUUCAAUGUCAUUUUGGAUGAGGAUGAGAAAAUUAGAGGGUUGCCUAUUUACCCUCAAGAAUAUUAAGAUUUUGCAUUUUGUGUAAAUUAUUGUGAACUUUUUGAUAUCAAAUUUAAAGGGAUCCCAUUCACAUGGUGGGAUAGUAGAAUUGAUGGUGCUUGUCUAUUUAAAAGGUUGGAUAGGUAUGUCUGAUGAAUCAAAGGUUGUUGAGGAUGUUUGUGAAUGUUAAAGUUAAACAUUUAGCUAGAACUGGUUCUAAUCAUGCUCCUAUUUUGUUAUCAUGUGGGGGAUUAGAUACACAUAUUUUUUAGCCCUUUUAAUUCCAAAAAAUUUGGACAGAAGAUAAGGAUUUCAAAAGGGUGGUAACUGACAGCUGAAAGUGUGAAGAAUCGGGUAACUAUUUCAUUAAAUUGAAACAAAAGAUGAAAAAUGCUAAGCUGGCACUUUCAAGAUGGAGUAGAGAAAAGUUUGGUGAUAUUUUUAAUUAGUUGAUGACUAGAGAAGAUAUUGUAAGGAUUAUUUAUUUGGAUAAAAUCUUUCUUCAGAAAAUAGAAUGAUACUUCAACUUGCAUAGGCUGAAUUAAAAAAUUACCUUCACUAUGAAGAAAAGUAUUGGAGGCAGAAAGUAAGGGUAAGAUGGUUUGUUGAAGGUGAAAAAUACACUAAGUUUUUCUAUAACUUAGUUAAUGGUAGGAGAAAAAGAUUGCACCUAAAUAGAAUUGGCAAGGAAGAUGGGGUUGUGCUGAAGGAAAGGAAGAAGUUGCUGCUGAGGCCAUUAAAUUUUAUCAGAAAUAGUUCACUACUGAGACUGAAGUGGUAGAUUUAACUUUGCUUAAAUUUUUCCAACACUAGUUAUUUCUAGGGAUAAUCAAUUGUUAAAUUCCAUGCCAAAAGGAGAAAAGAUUAAAAACGUGGUUUAUGAGGUUAAUGGUGAUAGUACUAGUGGUCCUGAUGGUUUCACAGGGCAAUUUUAUCAAUCUUGAUGGGGUAUUAUGGGAUCUGACAUAUGUGAAGUUGUGGUUGCUUUUUUUUUUGGCAGGAUGUACUUUGCCAAAGUCAAUUACUCAUAUUAACUUGGUCCUACUGCCCAAAAAAGAGAAUAUGUAGUUUUUUUUCUGACUUGAGAUCAAUUAGUUUGAGCAAUUUUCUUAACAAGGUACUGUCUAGAAUCAUUCAUGAUAGAAUAGAGAAAGUAAUUCCCAAAAUUAUUUCUCCAAACCAGUCAGGGUUUGUGAAAGGAAGACGUAUUACAGAGAAUGUUUUAUUGGU